AUUGAACGCUGGCGGCAGGCCUAACACAUGCAGGUCGAGCGGUAGCACAGAGAGCUUGCUCUCGGGUGACGAGCGGCGGACGGGUGAGUAAUGUCUGGGAAACUGCCUGAUGGAGGGGGAUAACUACUGGAAACGGUAGCUAAUACCGCAUAACGUCGCAAGACCAAAGUGGGGGACCUUCGGGCCUCAUGCCAUCAGAUGUGCCCAGAUGGGAUUAGCUAGUAGGUGGGGUAAUGGCUCACCUAGGCGACGAUCCCUAGCUGGUCUGAGAGGAUGACCAGCCACACUGGAACUGAGACACGGUCCAGACUCCUACGGGAGGCAGCAGUGGGGAAUAUUGCACAAUGGGCGCAAGCCUGAUGCAGCCAUGCCGCGUGUGUGAAGAAGGCCUUCGGGUUGUAAAGCACUUUCAGCGGGGAGGAAGGCGAUAAGGUUAAUAACCUUGUCGAUUGACGUUACCCGCAGAAGAAGCACCGGCUAACUCCGUGCCAGCAGCCGCGGUAAUACGGAGGGUGCAAGCGUUAAUCGGAAUUACUGGGCGUAAAGCGCACGCAGGCGGUCUGUCAAGUCGGAUGUGAAAUCCCCGGGCUCAACCUGGGAACUGUAUUCGAAACUGGCAGGCUAGAGUCUUGUAGAGGGGGGUAGAAUUCCAGGUGUAGCGGUGAAAUGCGUAGAGAUCUGGAGGAAUACCGGUGGCGAAGGCGGCCCCCUGGACAAAGACUGACGCUCAGGUGCGAAAGCGUGGGGAGCAAACAGGAUUAGAUACCCUGGUAGUCCACGCCGUAAACGAUGUCGAUUUGGAGGUUGUGCCCUUGAGGCGUGGCUUCCGGAGCUAACGCGUUAAAUCGACCGCCUGGGGAGUACGGCCGCAAGGUUAAAACUCAAAUGAAUUGACGGGGGCCCGCACAAGCGGUGGAGCAUGUGGUUUAAUUCGAUGCAACGCGAAGAACCUUACCUGGUCUUGACAUCCACAGAACUUUCCAGAGAUGGAUUGGUGCCUUCGGGAACUGUGAGACAGGUGCUGCAUGGCUGUCGUCAGCUCGUGUUGUGAAAUGUUGGGUUAAGUCCCGCAACGAGCGCAACCCUUAUCCUUUGUUGCCAGCGGUUAGGCCGGGAACUCAAAGGAGACUGCCAGUGAUAAACUGGAGGAAGGUGGGGAUGACGUCAAGUCAUCAUGGCCCUUACGACCAGGGCUACACACGUGCUACAAUGGCAUAUACAAAGAGAAGCGACCUCGCGAGAGCAAGCGGACCUCAUAAAGUAUGUCGUAGUCCGGAUUGGAGUCUGCAACUCGACUCCAUGAAGUCGGAAUCGCUAGUAAUCGUAGAUCAGAAUGCUACGGUGAAUACGUUCCCGGGCCUUGUACACACCGCCCGUCACACCAUGGGAGUGGGUUGCAAAAGAAGUAGGUAGCUUAACCUUCGGGAGGGCGCUUACCACUUUGUGAUUCAUGACUGGGGUGA
rnacentral:rRNA from 1 species